GAUGAACGCUGGCGGCGUGCCUAAUACAUGCAAGUCGAGCGAACAGACGAGGAGCUUGCUCCUCUGAUGUUAGCGGCGGACGGGUGAGUAACACGUGGAUAACCUACCUAUAAGACUGGGAUAACUUCGGGAAACCGGAGCUAAUACCGGAUAACAUGUUGAACCGCAUGGUUCAACAGUGAAAGACGGUCUUGCUGUCACUUAUAGAUGGAUCCGCGCCGCAUUAGCUAGUUGGUAAGGUAACGGCUUACCAAGGCAACGAUGCGUAGCCGACCUGAGAGGGUGAUCGGCCACACUGGAACUGAGACACGGUCCAGACUCCUCCGGGAGGCAGCAGUAGGGAAUCUUCCGCAAUGGGCGAAAGCCUGACGGAGCAACGCCGCGUGAGUGAAGAAGGUCUUCGGAUCGUAAAACUCUGUCAUUAGGGAAGAACAAAUGUGUAAGUAACUAUGCACGUCUUGACGGUACCUAAUCAGAAAGCCACGGCUAACUACGUG
rnacentral:rRNA from 1 species